rnacentral:rRNA from 1 species
UACGUAGGGACCAAGCGUUGUUCGGAUUUACUGGGCGUAAAGGGCGCGUAGGCGGCGCGGUAAGUCACUUGUGAAAUCUCUGAGCUUAACUCAGAACGGCCAAGUGAUACUGCAGUGCUAGAGUGUGGAAGGGGCAAUCGGAAUUCUUGGUGUAGCGGUGAAAUGCGUAGAUAUCAAGAGGAACACCUGAGGCGAAAGGCGGGUUGCUAGGCUGACACGUGACGCUGAGGCGCGAAAGCUAGGGUAGCAAACGGGG